GCAGCGCCCUGGGGCCCCGAGCUCCCACGCACAGUCCGCACAGAGGCCGGCCGGUUGCCCCUGCACGGAUACCUCUGCCAGUGGACCCUGGUGACCUACCUGGACGUCCGGAGCUGCCUUGGACACCUAGGCUACCUGGGCUACCCCACCCUCUGUGAGCAGGACCAGGCCCAUGCCAUCACAGUCACUCGUGAGAAGAGGCUGGACCAGGAGAAGGGACAGACGCAGCGGAGCGUCCUCCUGUGCAAGGUGGUAGGGGCCCGUGGAGUGGGCAAGUCUGCCUUCCUGCAGGCCUUUCUCGGCCGCGGCCUGGGGCACCAGGACACGAGGGAGCAGCCUCCCGGCUACGCCAUCGACACGGUGCAGGUCAAUGGACAGGAGAAGUACUUGAUCGUGAGUGCUGGGGCGGCGCGGCCUGUGCCCGAGGGUGGACCCGGGGACACCCAGGCCUGCCUGGCAGAUCUGGCCCAGCAUGGCCCUAGGGGGACCGAGCCCCAGGGACCCUUCCUAAGGCCGCUGUCUGUCCCAGCUCUGUGAGGUGGGCACAGAUGGUCUGCUGGCCACAUCGCUGGACGCCACCUGUGACGUUGCCUGCUUGAUGUUUGAUGGCAGUGACCCAAAGUCCUUUGCACAUUGUGCCAGCG
rnacentral:lncRNA from 1 species